UAGCAACGGAUAUUCCGUUGCUAAACCAAUUCCAGAAAAAAAAAAAACAUGGUUUGCAACGGAUUAACCGUUGCAA
rnacentral:sRNA from 1 species